rnacentral:rRNA from 1 species
GGGUUGUGAGGUUAAGCGACUAAGCGUACACGGUGGAUGCCCUGGCAGUCAGAGGCGAUGAAGGACGUGCUAAUCUGCGAUAAGCGUCGGUAAGGUGAUAUGAACCGUUAUAACCGGCGAUUUCCGAAUGGGGAAACCCAGUGUGAUUCGUCACACUAUCAUUAACUGAAUCCAUAGGUUAAUGAGGCGAACCGGGGGAACUGAAACAUCUAAGUACCCCGAGGAAAAGAAAUCAACCGAGAUUCCCCCAGUAGCGGCGAGCGAACGGGGAGCAGCCCAGAGCCUGAAUCAGUGUGUGUGUUAGUGGAAGCGUCUGGAAAGGCGCGCGAUACAGGGUGACAGCCCCGUACACAAAAAUGCACAUGCUGUGAGCUCGAUGAGUAGGGCGGGACACGUGGUAUCCUGUCUGAAUAUGGGGGGACCAUCCUCCAAGGCUAAAUACUCCUGACUGACCGAUAGUGAACCAGUACCGUGAGGGAAAGGCGAAAAGAACCCCGGCGAGGGGAGUGAAAAAGAACCUGAAACCGUGUACGUACAAGCAGUGGGAGCCUCUUUAUGGGGUGACUGCGUACCUUUUGUAUAAUGGGUCAGCGACUUAUAUUCUGUAGCAAGGUUAACCGAAUAGGGGAGCCGAAGGGAAACCGAGUCUUAACUGGGCGUUAAGUUGCAGGGUAUAGACCCGAAACCCGGUGAUCUAGCCAUGGGCAGGUUGAAGGUUGGGUAACACUAACUGGAGGACCGAACCGACUAAUGUUGAAAAAUUAGCGGAUGACUUGUGGCUGGGGGUGAAAGGCCAAUCAAACCGGGAGAUAGCUGGUUCUCCCCGAAAGCUAUUUAGGUAGCGCCUCGUGAAUUCAUCUCCGGGGGUAGAGCACUGUUUCGGCAAGGGGGUCAUCCCGACUUACCAACCCGAUGCAAACUGCGAAUACCGGAGAAUGUUAUCACGGGAGACACACGGCGGGUGCUAACGUCCGUCGUGAAGAGGGAAACAACCCAGACCGCCAGCUAAGGUCCCAAAGUCAUGGUUAAGUGGGAAACGAUGUGGGAAGGCCCAGACAGCCAGGAUGUUGGCUUAGAAGCAGCCAUCAUUUAAAGAAAGCGUAAUAGCUCACUGGUCGAGUCGGCCUGCGCGGAAGAUGUAACGGGGCUAAACCAUGCACCGAAGCUGCGGCAGCGACACUAUGUGUUGUUGGGUAGGGGAGCGUUCUGUAAGCCUGUGAAGGUGUACUGUGAGGUAUGCUGGAGGUAUCAGAAGUGCGAAUGCUGACAUAAGUAACGAUAAAGCGGGUGAAAAGCCCGCUCGCCGGAAGACCAAGGGUUCCUGUCCAACGUUAAUCGGGGCAGGGUGAGUCGACCCCUAAGGCGAGGCCGAAAGGCGUAGUCGAUGGGAAACAGGUUAAUAUUCCUGUACUUGGUGUUACUGCGAAGGGGGGACGGAGAAGGCUAUGUUGGCCGGGCGACGGUUGUCCCGGUUUAAGCGUGUAGGCUGGUUUUCCAGGCAAAUCCGGAAAAUCAAGGCUGAGGCGUGAUGACGAGGCACUACGGUGCUGAAGCAACAAAUGCCCUGCUUCCAGGAAAAGCCUCUAAGCAUCAGGUAACAUCAAAUCGUACCCCAAACCGACACAGGUGGUCAGGUAGAGAAUACCAAGGCGCUUGAGAGAACUCGGGUGAAGGAACUAGGCAAAAUGGUGCCGUAACUUCGGGAGAAGGCACGCUGAUAUGUAGGUGAAGCGACUUGCUCGUGGAGCUGAAAUCAGUCGAAGAUACCAGCUGGCUGCAACUGUUUAUUAAAAACACAGCACUGUGCAAACACGAAAGUGGACGUAUACGGUGUGACGCCUGCCCGGUGCCGGAAGGUUAAUUGAUGGGGUUAGCGCAAGCGAAGCUCUUGAUCGAAGCCCCGGUAAACGGCGGCCGUAACUAUAACGGUCCUAAGGUAGCGAAAUUCCUUGUCGGGUAAGUUCCGACCUGCACGAAUGGCGUAAUGAUGGCCAGGCUGUCUCCACCCGAGACUCAGUGAAAUUGAACUCGCUGUGAAGAUGCAGUGUACCCGCGGCAAGACGGAAAGACCCCGUGAACCUUUACUAUAGCUUGACACUGAACAUUGAGCCUUGAUGUGUAGGAUAGGUGGGAGGCUUUGAAGUGUGGACGCCAGUCUGCAUGGAGCCGACCUUGAAAUACCACCCUUUAAUGUUUGAUGUUCUAACGUUGGCCCCUGAUCGGGGUUGCGGACAGUGUCUGGUGGGUAGUUUGACUGGGGCGGUCUCCUCCUAAAGAGUAACGGAGGAGCACGAAGGUUGGCUAAUCCUGGUCGGACAUCAGGAGGUUAGUGCAAUGGCAUAAGCCAGCUUGACUGCGAGCGUGACGGCGCGAGCAGGUGCGAAAGCAGGUCAUAGUGAUCCGGUGGUUCUGAAUGGAAGGGCCAUCGCUCAACGGAUAAAAGGUACUCCGGGGAUAACAGGCUGAUACCGCCCAAGAGUUCAUAUCGACGGCGGUGUUUGGCACCUCGAUGUCGGCUCAUCACAUCCUGGGGCUGAAGUAGGUCCCAAGGGUAUGGCUGUUCGCCAUUUAAAGUGGUACGCGAGCUGGGUUUAGAACGUCGUGAGACAGUUCGGUCCCUAUCUGCCGUGGGCGCUGGAGAACUGAGGGGGGCUGCUCCUAGUACGAGAGGACCGGAGUGGACGCAUCACUGGUGUUCGGGUUGUCAUGCCAAUGGCACUGCCCGGUAGCUAAAUGCGGAAGAGAUAAGUGCUGAAAGCAUCUAAGCACGAAACUUGCCCCGAGAUGAGUUCUCCCUGACUCCCUGAGAGUCCUGAAGGAACGUUGAAGACGACGACGUUGAUAGGCCGGGUGUGUAAGCGCAGCGAUGCGUUGAGCUAACCGGUACUAAUGAACCGUGAGGCUUAACCUUACAACGCCGAAGGUGUUU